GAUGAACGCUGGCGGCGUGCUAAACACAUGCAAGUCGAACGAGGUCCAUGGAGCUUGCUCCGGAAGACCUAGUGGCGAACGGGUGCGUAACACGUGAGAAACCUGCCCCGAUCUCUGGGAUAACAGUUGGAAACGACUGCUAAUACCGGAUGCCGUCACACCGCUUCAUGGCGGAGUGCCGAAUGAUUUAUCGGAUCGGGAGGGUCUCGCGGCCUAUCAGCUAGUUGGAGAGGUAACGGCUCACCAAGGCAUCGACGGGUAGCUGGUCUGAGAGGAUGAUCAGCCACACUGGGACUGAGACACGGCCCAGACUCCUACGGGAGGCAGCAGUGGGGAAUCUUGCACAAUGGGCGAAAGCCUGAUGCAGCAACGCCGCGUGCGGGAAGAAGGCCCUAGGGUUGUAAACCGCUUUCAGUAGGGAAGAAAAUGACGGUACCUACAGAAGAAGGUGCGGCCAACUACGUGCCAGCAGCAGCCGCCGUAA
rnacentral:rRNA from 1 species